GGCAUGGCACUUUCUAAACAUUCCUGUUUCAAACUUCAGCUGCCUGAUGAGCAGUCAAUAGCGCGAUUAGACAGAGGAGAGACUUGCAAUCUUGGCUUUUUGGGUGAGGCCGUCAGAAAUUUCCUUUGUGUCUUCCGUGUCUCAGUUAUCCUCCUCACACACAUCCUCUUUACAGACAUCUUCCUCACAGACAUCCUCCUCACAGUUAUCCUCCUCACACACAUCCUCCUCACAGACAUCCUCCUCACAGUUAUCCUCCUCAUACACACCCUCCUCACACACAUCCUCCUCACAGUUAUCCUCCUCACAGUUAUCCUCCUCAUACACACCCUCCUCACACACAUCCUCCUCACAGUUAUCCUCCUCACAGACAUCCUCCUCACACACACCCUCCUCACAGACAUCCUCCUCACACACAUCCUCCUCACAGUUAUCCUCCUCACAGACAUCCUCCUUACACACAUCCUCCUCACACACAUCAUCCUCACACACAUCCUCCUCACACACAUCCUCCUCACAGACAUCCUCCUCACACACAUCCUCCUCACACACAUCCCCCUCACACACAUCCUCCUCACAGUUAUUCUCCUCACAGACAUCCUCCUCACAUACACUCUCCUCACAGACAUCCUCCUCACACAUAUCCUCCUCACAGACAUCCUCCUCACACACAUCCUCCUCACACACAUCCUCUCUACACACAUCCUCCUCACACACAUCCUCCUCACAGUUAUCCUCCUCACAGACAUCCUCCUUACAGUUCUCCUCCUCAUACACAUCCUCCUCCUGCGGGCUUGAGA
rnacentral:lncRNA from 1 species